UCGGGGCGUAGCGCAGCUUGGUAGCGCACUACUUUGGGGUAGUAGGGGUCGUGGGUUCAAAUCCCGCCGCUCCGAU
rnacentral:tRNA from 4 species